CUGGUUGAUCCUGCCAGUAGUCAUAUGCUUGUCUCAGAGAUUUAGCCAUGCAUGUCUAAGUACAAACUUUUACACGGUGAAACCGCGAAUGGCUCAUUAAAUCAGUUAUGGUUUAUUAGAUGGUGCUAUCCUACUUGGAUAACUGUGGUAAUUCUAGAGCUAAUACAUGCUACAAAGCUCCGACCCUCGUUGGAAAGAGCGCUUUUAUUAGAUCAAGACCAACCGGUAUUCGCUCUCGGGUGUUGCCGUCGGAUUGAUGACUCUGGAUAACCUUUGCCGAUCGUAUGGCCCCGUGCCGACGACGCAUCUUUCAAAUGUCUGCCCUAUCAACUUUCGUUGGUAGGUGAUUUGCCUACCAAGGCGUUUACGGGUAACGGGGGAUCAGGGUUCGAUCCCGGAGAGGGAGCAUGAGAAACGGCUACCACAUCCAAGGAAGGCAGCAGGCGCGCAAAUUACCCACUCUUGGCACGAGGAGGUAGUGACGAAAAAUAACAAUACGGGACUCUUUCGAGGCCCCGUAAUUGGAAUGAGUACACUCUAAACCCGUUAACGAGGAUCUAUUGGAGGGCAAGUCUGGUGCCAGCAGCCGCGGUAAUUCCAGCUCCAAUAGCGUAUAUUAAAGCUGUUGCAGUUAAAAAGCUCGUAGUCGGAUUUCGGGCGGCGGCCAAUGGUUCGGUUCCGUGCCGAUACUGCUGGUCGCGGCCUCCACGCCGGUCGUCUUUCGGUGCUCUUGAUUGAGUGCCUUAAGUAGCCGGAGCGUUUACUUUGAAAAAAAUAGAGUGUUUCAGGCAGGCCACAAGCCUGAAUGAUGGUGCAUGGAAUAAUGGAAU
rnacentral:rRNA from 1 species